rnacentral:lncRNA from 1 species
CACGAAUGAAGCCAUUCCCUGGCCUUAGGCAAGCAGGCCCUGGACCCAAGAGCCUGCACACAGGACGACGCUGCCGGGACGUGAUUGAAUCCAGUCUCCUCCGGGCAACCGUCUUCCUGGGAGGGAACUUACGGCCGGCUGACCAGGACAGAAAAACGGAAACUCCCCCCACAGUGGUCCAGCCAUAGACGCCUCCACCAGGAAGCCCUCUGGGAAGAAGACGGCCUCUGCGUCCCAGCUCUGUCCAGUGGCCUCCAAGGUCCCCACCCAGCAUCAGCCCUGAGCAUGAGCAGGCAUCGUGUGGGGGGUAAGCCGUUGGCAAGGCCACUUGGCUCUACCUUCAAGACAUACCAGAGCCUAACGCGUCCCGCCGCCUGGUCCCCUCCCGCUGGGACCUGCGCCCACCUCCUCACCGGCCCCUCCUCUGCACACAACCUCUGGAAAACCUUAAUCAGGUCAUAUCCCCG